rnacentral:rRNA from 1 species
AUACGGAAGGUCCGGGCGUUAUCCGGAUUUAUUGGGUUUAAAGGGAGCGCAGGCGGCUGUUUAAGCGUGCCGUGAAAUGCCGUGGCUAAACCAUGGCACUGCGGCGCGAACUGGGCGGCUUGAGUCGGCGGAAGGUGAGCGGAAUGCGUGGUGUAGCGGUGAAAUGCUUAGAUAUCACGAGGAAAUCCGAUUGCGAAGGCGGCGCGCCGCAGCUGAACUGACGCUCAUGCUCGAAGGCGCGGGUAUCGAACAGGAUUAGAUACCCUGGUAGUCCGCGCGGUAAACGAUGGACGCCCGCUGUGUGCCAUUGCGGUACGCGGCCAAGCGAAAGCGUUAAGCGUCCCACCUGGGGAGUACGCCGGCAACGGUGAAACUCAAAGGAAUUGACAGGG